GAAAACUACUUGAGGCGUGGGCGCCUCAGUAACAUUUUCGUUUAACGAAAUUGUGUGGGAAUAAUGAUACUAUCAUUGUCGUUAAGUUCAUCAUCACUCAUCUGCAUAUCGUUGUCUUCAGAACAGACUACAUAGUGCAUCCAUGAACAACUCAUCAUAAAAAAUUUUCAUUGUUGCUUCUAGACAUUUUUAACACUUUCAGUAUUUCUUUUUUUUAACUUUAUUUUUUUUACCAAUUAUAUAUUGUGCUUUAUAGAAACAGUUCAUAAGUAAUUGCGAACAAUUUCAGAUCAAGUAACUGAUAAUUACAGAAAAAGAGAAACGCGUCGCUAAAGUCAAAGUGGAAGAUCUUUCCUAAGAUCAGUUAGCUAAGUGUAACAUCGAAUAUCGAUAGACUUCGAUGCUAGGCGCACAGCCACUUGCGGCUUGUACAAGUCUGUGGUCGAUACUCGGACUCGAAGCACUCUAGGCGCUACAAGUUCAGAUGAAAUCCCUCGAACAAAAAUUGUUAUGCAACGUGACCGUUAAAAAAUACAGUUAGACUUCAGACUACGAUGGAAAACAGUUCCAGCAUUUGUUCAAAUGAAAUCCCACGAACAAGAAUUGUUAGGCAACGUGACCGUUAAAAAAGACAGUUAAAGACUUCAGACUACAAUGGAAAACAGUUCGAGCAUUUGUAAGUAUCACU